GACGAACGCUGGCGGCGUGCUUAACACAUGCAAGUCGAGCGGUAAGGCCCUUUCGGGGGUACACGAGCGGCGAACGGGUGAGUAACACGUGGGUGACCUGCCCUCAGCUCUGGGAUAAGCCUGGGAAACCGGGUCUAAUACCGGAUAUGACUCCAUGACGCAUGUUGUGGGGUGGAAAGCCUUGUGCGGCUGAGGAUGGGCCCGCGGCCUAUCAGCUUGUUGGUGGGGUGAUGGCCUACCAAGGCGACGACGGGUAGCCGGCCUGAGAGGGCGACCGGCCACACUGGGACUGAGACACGGCCCAGACUCCUACGGGAGGCAGCAGUGGGGAAUCUUGCGCAAUGGGCGAAAGCCUGACGCAGCGACGCCGCGUGAGGGAUGACGGCCUGGUGUAAGU
rnacentral:rRNA from 1 species